GCAAGUCGAACGGUAACAGAAGCAGCUUGCUGCUUGCUGACGAGUGGCGACGGGUGAGUAAUGUCUGGGAAACUGCCUGAUGAGGGGGAUAACUACUGGAAACGGUAGCUAAUACCGCAUAACGUCGCAAGACCAAAGAGGGGGACCUUCGGGCCUCUUGCCAUCAGAUGUGCCCAGAUGGGAUUAGCUUGUUGGUGGGGUAACGGCUCACCAAGGCGACGAUCCCUAGCUGGUCUGAGAGGAUGACCAGCCACACUGGAACUGAGACACGGUCCAGACUCCUACGGGAGGCAGCAGUGGGGAAUAUUGCACAAUGGGCGCAAGCCUGAUGCAGCCAUGCCGCGUGUAAUGAAGAAGGCCUUCGGGUUGUAAAGUACUUUCAGCGGGGAGGAAGGUGUUGUGGUUAAUAACCACAGCAAUUGACGUUACCCGCAGAAGAAGCACCGGCUAACUCCGUGCCAGCCGCUGC
rnacentral:rRNA from 1 species